UAGAUCGUACUUCAUGGGAUCAUCUUUGUAGUAUAUAUUUAAAACUGCUUUUUAUAAAGCUGAGUCGAUGUAACUACGAUAACAGCUUUAGCUCUCUUUUUUGAGCGAAGAAGGACGGAUUCAGAAUUUUGAUUUUUCACAUCAAGAUUUUGGUCACUGAUGAUCGUUUACUUCUAUUACUUAAUAAAGAGAGCUAAAGGAAGUAGAGCUAUCCGAAUAGA
rnacentral:snoRNA from 1 species